AUGGCCUCAACACCAUCAGGGAACUGCCUUGCCUCACCUUCUGGACCAGGCAUUUGGCAACGAGAACGACAGGACUGGGGUUUCGGAUAUUACAUCAGGCUUGAUCUUAAGGGAUCUUUCCACACAUAUCCGAAUGCAGGCGGGCCGUUUAAGAGCUUAGAGGAAGUCGAUAAGGCUAUGGAUCGCUAUUUUCAUCAACACCGGGAUCCAAAGCUGCUAAUGAAUAAAGGUGGGGUUCCGUCACGAGAGAUUUCUAUAGAAAAAGCUCGUUAUUGGCCUGAUGGCAGAAGGAAGAAGCUUUCCAGAUCCUAUAUCAUCAAGCAGUUCCAUAAUCAAAUGCGCCGAUUACUUCAAGCUUUGGUGGACAAGCAUAAUGAGGAUCACAGCCUUUCGGGGGAUCUUGCAUAUGAACUCAAAGAUGUUUUGCACGCCACAACAAUUUGUGAGGGGCGUACUACAUGCUACUAUCAUCUCAAUUUCACGGUGACUAAAGGAGCUGGUGAUUCUAACUCUGGCAUUGAAAACCUUUUCUUUGCGGAAGUCAAAUGUGUGCUACAAGGAAAAGAAGAGGAAUUUUCGGUCACCUGUUUCUGCCCGGUUGAAUCUACCGAUAAUGGAUACUGCUAUGGUUGUACCAUGCAUAGGGAUGUCAAUAUGAAGCACCCCAUCAGUGCCGAUGCAUACCUUGCCGGUCAGGUGAAGGCGGGAUAUUAUUGUUAUGAAGGCUGCAGCAGCGACUCAGACGACGAAAAUAUGGAAGCUAAGAAAGAAAAGGACGGUUGCUGA
rnacentral:rRNA from 1 species